ACGUAGGUGGCGAGCGUUAUCCGGAUUUACUGGGCGUAAAGCGUGUGCAGGCGGAUGGCCAAGUGGUGUAUGAAAGCUCCAGGCUUAACCUGGCGAGGACAAUGAAGACUGGUCAGCUAGAGGACGGUAGAGGGGUGUGGAAUUCCGGGUGUAGUGGUGAAAUGCGUAGAGAUCCGGAGGAACACCAGAGGCGAAGGCGACCCCCUGGGCCGUACCUGACGCUAAGACGCGACAGCACGGGGAGCGAACGG
rnacentral:rRNA from 1 species